GUCCCCUUCGUCUAGUGGCCUAGGACUUCGCCCUCUCACGGCGGCAACAGGGGUUCGAAUCCCCUAGGGGACGCCA
rnacentral:tRNA from 1 species